rnacentral:misc_RNA from 1 species
GUUGAAGAACGUAGCGAAAUGCGAUACUUGGUGUGAAUUGCAGAAUCCCGUGAACCAUCGAGUCUUUGAACGCAAGUUGCGCCCGAAGCCAUUAGGCCGAGGGCACGCCUGCCUGGGCGUCACACGUCGUUGCCCCCCCAUCUACUCCUUCGGGAUUGCGGGGGGCGGAUGAUGGCCUCCCGUGCGCCUCGCCGCGCGGUUGGCAUAAAUGCCAAGUCCUCGGCGACGCACGCCACGACAAUCGGUGGUUGCGAAACCUCGGUUGCCCGUCGUGUGCGGUCGUCGCGCAUCGAGGGCUCGAAAAAAUUGCCGGGUUCCGGCUCGGCUUUCAACGCGACCCCAGGUCAGGCGGGGUUACCCGCUGAAUUUAAGCAUAUCAAUAAGCGGAGGA